rnacentral:rRNA from 1 species
UGGGGAAUAUUGGACAAUGGAGGGAACUCUGAUCCAGCAAUUCUGUGUGUGUGAAGAAGGUUUUAGGACUGUAAAACACUUUUAGUAGGGAAGAAAAAAAUGACGGUACCUACAGAAGAAGCAACGGCUAAAUACGUGCCAGCAGCCGCGGUAAUACGUAUGUUGCGAGCGUUAUCCGGAAUUAUUGGGCUUAAAGGGCAUCUAGGCGGUAAGACAAGUUGAAGGUGAAAACCUGUGGCUCAACCAUAGGCUUGCCUACAAAACUGUUGAAAUAGAGUACUCGAAAGGUGGGUGGAACUACACGAGUAGAGGUGAAAUUCGUAGAUAUGUGUAGGAAUGCCGAUGAUGAAGAUAACUCACUGGACAGAAACUGACGCUGAAGUGCGAAAGCUAGGGGAGCAAACAGG